GGAUUGCAGGCUGCAACUCGCCUGCAUGAAGUCGGAAUUGCUAGUAAUCGCGGAUCAGCAUGCCGCGGUGAAUACGUUCCCGGGCCCUGUACACACCGCCCGUCACACCAUGAGAGUCGGGAACACCCGAAGUCCGUAGCCUAACCGCAAGGGGGGCGCGGCCGAAGGUGGGUUCGAUAAUUGGGGUGAAGUCGUAACAAGGUAGC
rnacentral:rRNA from 1 species